CCUACGGGAGGCAGCAGUGGGGAAUAUUGCACAAUGGGGGAAACCCUGAUGCAGCGACGCCGCGUGAGUGAAGAAGUAAUUCGUUAUGUAAAGCUCUAUCAGCAGGGAAGAUAAUGACGGUAUCUAACGAAUAAGCACCGGCUAACUCCGUGCCAGCAGCCGCGGUAAUACGGGGGAUGCAAGCGUUAUCCGGAUUUAUUGGGUUUAAAGGUUGCGUAGGCUGUGAGGUAAGUCAGCGGUGAAAUGCCCCCGCUCAACGGGGUGAAGUGCCCUUGAUACUGCCUUGCUGGAAUGCGGAUGCCGUGGGAGGAAUGUGUGGUGUAGCGGUGAAAUGCAUAGAUAUCACACAGAACACCGAUUGCGAAGGCAUCUCACGAAUCCGCGAUUGACGCUGAUGCACGAAAGCGUGGGUAUCAAACAGGAGUAGAUACCCCUGUAGUC
rnacentral:rRNA from 1 species